AUACUCUGGUUCCUCUCCAGAUCGCAUAAAUCUUUCACCUUUUACUAAAGAUUUCCAUGGAAAGGAAUAAUUCUGAAUCUUAAUUUUUUGAGGCCUUAUCUCGACAAGCCU